GAUGAACGCUAGCUACAGGCUUAACACAUGCAAGUCGAGGGGCAGCAUGGUCUUAGCUUGCUAAGGCCGAUGGCGACCGGCGCACGGGUGAGUAACACGUAUCCAACCUGCCGUCUACUCUUGGACAGCCUUCUGAAAGGAAGAUUAAUACAAGAUGGCAUCAUGAGUCCGCAUGUUCACAUGAUUAAAGGUAUUCCGGUAGACGAUGGGGAUGCGUUCCAUUAGAUAGUAGGCGGGGUAACGGCCCACCUAGUCUUCGAUGGAUAGGGGUUCUGAGAGUAAGGUCCCCCACAUUGGAACUGAGACACGGUCCAAACUCCUACGGGAGGCAGCAGUGAGGAAUAUUGGUCAAUGGGCGAGAGCCUGAACCAGCCAAGUAGCGUGAAGGACGACUGCCCUAUGGGUUGUAAACUUCUUUUAUAAAGGAAUAAAGUCGGGUAUGGAUACCCGUUUGCAUGUACUUUAUGAAUAAGGAUCGGCUAACUCCGUG
rnacentral:rRNA from 1 species